rnacentral:rRNA from 1 species
ACGAACGCUGGCGGCGUGCUUAACACAUGCAAGUCGAACGGAAAGGCCCUGCUUUUGUGGGGUGCUCGAGUGGCGAACGGGUGAGUAACACGUGAGUAACCUGCCCUUGACUUUGGGAUAACUUCAGGAAACUGGGGCUAAUACCGGAUAGGAGCUCCUGCUGCAUGGUGGGGGUUGGAAAGUUUCGGCGGUUGGGGAUGGACUCGCGGCUUAUCAGCUUGUAGGUGGGGUAGUGGCUUACCAAGGCUUUGACGGGUAGCCGGCCUGAGAGGGUGACCGGCCACAUUGGGACUGAGAUACGGCCCAGACUCCUACGGGAGGCAGCAGUGGGGAAUAUUGCACAAUGGGCGGAAGCCUGAUGCAGCAACGCCGCGUGCGGGAUGACGGCCUUCGGGUUGUAAACCGCUUUCGCCUGUGACGAAGCGUGAGUGACGGUAAUGGGUAAAGAAGCACCGGCUAACUACGUG